rnacentral:rRNA from 1 species
AUUGAACGCUAGCGGGAUGCUUUACACAUGCAAGUCGAACGAGUGGCGGACGGGUGAGUAAUAUAACAGAACGUGCCCAGGAGCGGGGGAUCACUACUCUAAAGAAUGGCUAAUAACACAUAAUAUUGGAUCGGCCGAUAUCGGAUGAGCUAGUUGGUGGGGUAAAGGCUCACAAAGGCAACGAUCCGUAGCGGGUUUGAGAGGACGCCCAGCCACACUGGGACUGAGACACGGCCCAGACUCCUACGGGAGGCAGCAGUGGGGAAUUUUGGACAAUGGGUGAAACCCUGAUCCUGCCAUGCCGCGUGUAUGAGAAGGCCUUCGGGUUGUAAAGUACUUUUGGCAGAGAAGCGGUAUCUGCAGAAUAAGCACCGGCUAACUACGUGCCAGCAGCCGCGGUAAUAC